rnacentral:tRNA from 1 species
GACCCCGUGGCCUAAUGGAUAAGGCAUCAGCCUCUGGAGGUAGGGAUUGUGGGUUUGAGUCCCAUCUGGGUUG